rnacentral:rRNA from 1 species
AUUGAACGCUGGCGGCAUGCCUUACACAUGCAAGUCGAACGGCAGCGCGGACUUCGGUCUGGCGGCGAGUGGCGAACGGGUGAGUAAUGUAUCGGAACGUACCAUUCAGUGGGGGAUAACGCAGCGAAAGUUGCGCUAAUACCGCAUAUUCUGUGCGCAGGAAAGCAGGGGAUCGCAAGACCUUGCGCUGAUUGAGCGGCCGAUAUCAGAUUAGCUAGUUGGUGAGGUAAAGGCUCACCAAGGCGACGAUCUGUAGCGGGUCUGAGAGGAUGAUCCGCCACACUGGAACUGAGACACGGUCCAGACUCCUACGGGAGGCAGCAGUGGGGAAUUUUGGACAAGGGGCGCAAGCCUGAUCCAGCCAUGCCGCGUGAGUGAAGAAGGCCUUCGGGUUGUAAAGCUCUUUCGGCCGGGAAGAAAUCGUAUGGGUUAAUACCCUGUGCGGAUGACGGUACCGGCAUAAGAAGCACCGGCUAACUACGUGCCAGCCGCCGCGGUAAUAC